AUUGAACGCUGGCGGCAUGCCUUACACAUGCAAGUCGAACGGUAACAGGUUAAGCUGACGAGUGGCGAACGGGUGAGUAAUGUAUCGGAACGUGCCCAGUCGUGGGGGAUAACUGCUCGAAAGAGCAGCUAAUACCGCAUACGACCUGAGGGUGAAAGCGGGGGAUCGCAAGACCUCGCGCGAUUGGAGCGGCCGAUAUCAGAUUAGGUAGUUGGUGAGGUAAAGGCUCACCAGGCCGACGAUCUGUAGCUGGUCUGAGAGGACGACCAGCCACACUGGACUGAGACACGGCCCAGACUCCUACGGGAGGCAGCAGUGGGGAAUUUUGGACAAUGGGCGCAAGCCUGAUCCAGCCAUGCCGCGUGCGGGAAGAAGGCCUUCGGGUUGUAAACCGCUUUUGUCAGGGAAGAAAAGGUUCUGGCUAAUACCUGGGACUCAUGACGGUACCUGAAGAAUAAGCACCGGCUAACUACGUG
rnacentral:rRNA from 1 species